rnacentral:rRNA from 1 species
AUUGAACGCUGGCGGCAGGCCUAACACAUGCAAGUCGAACGGUAACAGGGAGAGGCUUGCUUCUUUGCUGACGAGUGGCGGACGGGUGAGUAAUGUCUGGGAAACUGCCUGAUGGAGGGGGAUAACUACUGGAAACGGUUACUAAUACCGCAUAACGUCGCAAGGCCAAAGAGCAGGAGCUUUGGGCCUCUUGCCAGAGGAUAUGACCAGAUGGGAUUAGCUAGUAGGUGGGGUAAAGGCUCACCUAGGCGACGAUCCCUAGCUGGUCUGAGAGGAUGACCAGCCACACUGGAACUGAGACACGGUCCAGACUCCUACGGGAGGCAGCAGUGGGGAAUAUUGGACAAAGGGCGCAAGCCUGAUGCAGCCAUGCCGCGUGUAUGAAGAAGGCCUUCGGGUUGUAAAGUACUUUCAGCGGGGAGGAAGGGAAUAAAGUUAAUACCUUUGCGUAUUGACGUUACCCGCAGAAGAAGCACCGGCUAACUCCGUG